UCAAUUUAAAUUAAAAAUUUGAAUCCGCGAAGUAAAUGAGACCAAAGAGAAGAGAGAGGGGGUAUGUCCGUAAUGAGGAGUCUGAGCGUGUAUGGGGGAGAGAAGACUUUGAGUUGAGACAGAGGAGAGAUGAAAGCAAAAAUGGAGAGAAGAAGGAAAAUGGAGAAGAACUCUAAAGGCCCAUCAACACGUGGAAAAAAGCUGCAGACAGAGAGGAGAAAAGGGAGAAAAAAAUUUCAGAGCAAAUGAAGGCUAAAACAUUAACGGGGAGGAAAACCUGAAGGAAGCAGGCCAAAACUUAUUCGAAGGCAGUUGAAAAAUGGGUUGCGUUAUUUUGCAACACAAAAGACACCCAAACAGGUUUGAAGCACACCUAGAAGUUCAUGUGGGGCCAGUGCAUGAAGAGGAUGAUGAACAAGGCAUUGCACAUAUGACUGAACAUGUUCUUCUUGACUGUGAAAGCUUUUUUCAACUUCCCGGGCCAGAUUCUUGGAAAGCAGCAUAUACUACUUUCAACCAAACGGUUUAUCACAUCACAUCACUUCACAAACCAUAUUGGAGUUGUGCCAACAUAUGCAUUCGGAGAACAAGUUGAGUAAAAGGUGUAAUAUUUUGGGACUGGAGGAACAAAUUAUGAAGUAGAAUGUUGCUCAAAUAAAAAAAUAUCAUAACCGUUGGUACUUUCCUGGCAAUGCAACCUUAUAUAUUGUUGGGGAUAUCAACGACGUUUCCAAAACAAUUGAUGCAAUACAAGCAGCCUUUGGAAAAUCUAACAAGAGAUCAUCUGCAAUGUUAAAAAAUAGAAGACCGGAUCAUCCUAUUCGGCCUCUAUUAACAAUACACCAUAAUUGGUCCCUCCCUAAAUGCAACAUAGAUGAUCAAAGGUCUCCAGUACAAAUUUUCCAGCACAACCUCAUUCACAACUUUUCCUUUCAUAUUUGCUCAAAGUGGGUGUAGACGAUGAGAUUGGAGUGGAAAGGCUAUGGAGAGUUCGGGUUGGAGCAAAGCACAUGGAUUGUUGCAUGCCUGCUUGGGUUUUUGCAAAUUCAGUGUUGUGGAAAUCAGGUCUAACAAAAAAAUUACAAAAAUAAUUGUGGUACCCUACUGGUAUACAAUACACACACGGCAUUAGAACAAUGUAUGUGACUUAUGCUCCAUAUGUACUUUUCGUCUAAGUUUUGC